UCGCCUGGCCCCUGCUCUAUGAAGGCCACAUCAGGUGUUACUGGCUUUCCCAGCUGCCUCCUGGCCCUCGAGGGUGAGAACAAACCUCUGGGGACAGGGCAAGAGGUCACCCUUUGAGCCAUCCCUGGACCUCGUGAAGCAGGUGCCACUUAAUUCUAGGAGUUGGAAGGGAGAGAUGCACCAGUCUCCUGCCUCAGCCCCGGAAUCCUGAUCAGGGUGUGAUGCGUUGCUACCAGUCUGCUCAAGAAGCAUCUUUCCAUGGGAGGUGGGGAGUUCAGUGUGUGGGUCUGCUGCAAACACAGCUGGAGCUGGAUAGCCAGGCACCCCUGCAGAAGUUCACCCAGAAGCUGGUUCACCUGUUUGGAAAGAGGCCUCCCUUCUGCC